rnacentral:tRNA from 1 species
GCCUGGCUGGCUCAUUCAGUAGAGCAUGCUGACUCUUGAUCUCAAGGUCGUGAGUUCAAGCCCCAUGUUGGGCA